UACAGAGGGUGCAAGCGUUAAUCGGAAUUACUGGGCGUAAAGCGUGCGUAGACGGUUACAUAAGUCGGGUGUGAAAGCCCCGGGCUCAACCUGGGAAUUGCAUUCGAGACUGCGUAGCUAGGGUGCGGAAGAGGGAAGCGGAAUUUCCGGUGUAGCGGUGAAAUGCGUAGAUACCGGAAGGAACACCAGUGGCGAAAGCGGCUUCCUGGUCCAGCACCGACGUCAGGCACGAAAGCGUGGGGAGCAAACAGG
rnacentral:rRNA from 1 species